rnacentral:rRNA from 1 species
AUUGAACGCUGGCGGCAGGCCUAACACAUGCAAGUCGAACGAGUGGCGGACGGGUGAGUAAUGUCUGGGAAACUGCCUGAUGGAGGGGGAUAACUACUGGAAACGGUCGCUAAUACCGCAUACCAUAAGAUGUGCCCAGAUGGGAUUAUAUUGUUGGUGGGGUAACGGCUCACCAAGGCGACGAUCCCUAGCUGGGCUUAUAGGAUGACCAGCCACACUGGAACUGAGACACGGUCCAGACUCGUACGGGAGGCAGCAGUGGGGAAUAUGGCACAAUGGGCGCAAGCCUUAUGCAGCCAUGCGGCGUGUAUGAAGAGGGCCUUCGUGUUGUAAAGUACUUUCAGCGGGGAGGCGUUACCCGCAGAAGAAGCACCGGCUAACUCCGUGCCAGCAGCCGCGGUAAUUC